CCUACGGGAGGCUGCAGUGGGGAAUAUUGCGCAAUGGGCGAAAGCCUGACCCAGCAACGCCGCGUGAAGGAAGAAGGCUCUCGGCUCGUAAACUUCUUUUAUCAGGGACGAAACAAGUGACGGUACCUGAAGAAUAAGCCCCGGCUAACUACGUGCCAGCAGCCGCGGUAAUACGUAGGUGGCAAGCGUUAUCCGGAAUUACUGGGUGUAAAGGGAGCGUAGGCGGUAAUGCAAGUCUGAAGUGAAAACCCAGGGCUCAACCAGUGGACUGCUUUGGAAACUGUAAAACUUGAGUGCUGGAGAGGUAGGCGGAAUUCCUAGUGUAGCGGUGAAAUGCGUAGAUAUUAGGAGGAACACCAGUGGCGAAGGCGG
rnacentral:rRNA from 1 species